rnacentral:rRNA from 1 species
CUGCGGCGUGCCUAAUACAUGCAAGUCGAACGCACUCUCGUUUAGAUUGAAGGAGCUUGCUCUGAUUGAUAACAUUUGAGUGAGUGGCGGACGGGUGAGUAACACGUGGGUAACCUGCCCUAAAGUGGGGGAUAACAUUUGGAAACAGAUGCUAAUACCGCAUAAAACCUAACACCGCAUGGUGUAGGGUUGAAAGAUGGUUUCGGCUAUCACUUUAGGAUGGACCCGCGGUGCAUUAGUUAGUUGGUGAGGUAAAGGCUCACCAAGACCGUGAUGCAUAGCCGACCUGAGAGGGUAAUCGGCCACACUGGGACUGAGACACGGCCCAGACUCCUACGGGAGGCAGCAGUAGGGAAUCUUCCACAAUGGACGAAAGUCUGAUGGAGCAACGCCGCGUGAGUGAAGAAGGUUUUCGGAUCGUAAAACUCUGUUGUUGGAGAAGAAUGUAUCUGAUAGUAACUGAUCAGGUAGUGACGGUAUCCAACCAGAAAGCCACGGCUAACUACGUG